GUCUCAGGCAGCCUGCUCCUUAGCUUUCCAGAAUAGGAAAGUCACAUUUACACUAAGUACUGAAUUUACAGAGGCUUUUUAUUUCCAAUAUUGCACUAAUACUGAAUUUAUUUAUUUAUUUAGAAUGCAUGCUCCCUCAUUUCACUUUCACCUUCUGCAGUGAAGUCAUGCUUCUUGUGGCUGUGACCCCAGAAUCAGUUGCUAGAGAAAUAAAUGUGGUGGCACAGAUUAAAUCACAGAUUUCAGCACAGAAUUGAGUGCAUGGACAAAGGAGAAGAUAAGUGCCUUUCUAAAAUAGAUACAUUUAUUAGAAAAAUCCAUUUGUUUUUGUCAGCUCUGUUUGAACAGAUUGUUCCAGAAUCAAAAUCUCCACUUAAUAGCAAUAUAUAUAUAUAUAUUUAAAUUUUGCAGUGAUCUUGUGCUCCUGGGUCUUGCCUAGUUUCCACUUAGAUAAGCUGAGAGGUUUACGCUACUUUCAAUGGACUUUGUUUAAAACCUCUGUUAGAAACUCCUCGUGUCUGGCAUUGCUAAACUGAGAAGGCAGUAUUGAAAAUAGGAGUUUGUCAUGUAACUCGCUUUCAGAGAACCCAGAUCCAGAGUGUGCUGGACUCUGCUUAUCUAUUCUCUCAGCCUCUCUUAAAUGCAAAGGGAGAUAAUCUUUUCCUAGAAGCACUUAGAACAAGAUUUUAAACCAUGAGUGCUGAGGUAUCAGAGUUCCUUUUUACCCAAAUAUCUGGAAAUAUGGCCUUCCUUGUGAUGUUCCUACACAAUUUUAGCACAAAUGUAACAAUUAUAUCUGCAAAUGAGAAAAAUAUAUUCUGCAAUAAGACUUGCCUGGACUGCAAAUUAAAAUGUUUAAAGAACAUCAUUCUUUAGUUUUAGGCUCACCUGUAGUGGAAUGUGAUUUAGUAGAUUCCUUGUCUACUUCUUGCUCAGCAUUUGCUGUCUAAACAUAGGAUGUGCUGCUCAGGUCAGUGUGCUUGCUUUCACUGUUAGGGAGAAGAUGGCAGCUCUGAAGGGAGCAGGAUGAAGCCAAAUACUGAACUGCGUGCUGGAGGCUGCUGUUGACUACAGAUGGAGUUGAAGUGAUCAGCUGAGAUCCACUUCUAGAUGGGUAAAGCCAGUUUGAGUGCGCUUACGUGUCUUCCAUGGGAAGAGGAGCAAUGCUUUGCCAUGAACACUGCCCACCAAAUUGGAAGAAGAUAUAAUGAAUCUUCUCUGCAUCACAAGAAAAAGGCUACUCAAUCUUAAAACAACAUUUUAAUCUCAGUCAAAAAGGGGCAUCUUCAACAUAAGGCUGUCUGCAGUCAUGGGCAUGUCUCAAACGUUAGCAAACAUCAUAUUUGAUGCUUCUUCCUCUGCCCAAGAAUAUAACUUUAUCAAAAGGAAAUUUCCUACUCAUUUGAGCAGUCUCCAUAGCAACAGCGCUGUACACCUGUGAUGUAUGGGCACAGGCUGUUACAACCUAUGAACUAGCUGGAGUGAGCUGUGCCCCACCCCCUGCCAAAGCCAGAGUACGUCUCCCAUGUAUCCAUGGCACCUGGUUCUCCG